AUUGAACGCUGGCGGCAGGCCUAACACAUGCAAGUCGAACGGUAGCACAGAGAGCUUGCUCUUGGGUGACGAGUGGCGGACGGGUGAGUAAUGUCUGGGAAACUGCCCGAUGGAGGGGGAUAACUACUGGAAACGGUAGCUAAUACCGCAUAACGUUGCAAGACCAAAGUGGGGGACCUUCGGGCCUCAUGCCAUCAGAUGUGCCCAGAUGGGAUUAGCUAGUAGGUGGGGUAACGGCGCACCUAGGCGACGAUCCCUAGCUGGUCUGAGAGGCUGACCAGCCACACUGGAACUGAGACACGGUCCAGACUCCUACGGGAGGCAGCAGUGGGGAAUAUUGCACAAUGGGCGCAAGCCUGAUGCAGCCAUGCCGCGUGUAUGAAGAAGGCCUUCGGGUUGUAAAGUACUUUCAGCGGGGAGGAAGGGAGUAAAGUCAAUACCUUUGCUCAUUGACGUUACCCGCAGAAGAAGCACCGGCUAACUCCGUGCCAGCAGCCGCCGCUG
rnacentral:rRNA from 1 species